UUCCUAAAAAAAAAAAAAAAAAAUAAAAAUUAAAAAAAAUCUUAACUUAAACCACUAUCAGGAUACACACUGCAUUGUGGACUAAUAUUAACUCAGAGCAGGAUAAAAAUGCCAUUGGCUUAUUCUAGAAUAGCCUUUAGUCUGGGAGCUGUGCUGAUCCAUUCAGGAAAACGCUGCUUUUGAACAGCUCGUUCAGAAACAAGUGGGAGUUUUCUUGGACUGUGAGUUGGAGGAUGUCUGCCCAGUGAAUGAAACAUGAUAGGUGGUCCCUCUUUUCCUCCUUCUGCUUCCUGGCUCUGUUCCUUCUACUGUUAACUGGAUGUCAGACUGGGAUAGCUGGGUAUUGUGGUCUGGUCUGAUUAAUCCAAAGCUGCUAGACUCAAAAUGAUAAAGUCUCAAAGUUGUGGAAUAACCAGGAAAACCGGGUAGAUUCCCACUGUUCUGACUCUGAGUGAAUCCCUUUCCACCCAGUUUGGAUACAUAAUCUGUUUUCAUUUUUGUAAUCACAACAUCACUGAAGCGAUUUGCUCUCUCUAUUUUUAUACAGCUUCCACAGUUUACUACAGAAAUGGCUGUAUUUCUCUGGAGGUCUGAUGUUUCCUGACAGCAUCCCUUUGUCUGAAGGAGUGAGUGGGUAGGAUAGUUAAAUCCCAAAAUAGAUCACUCCAGGGGAGCACAAAACCUCCAUCACAGAGACAGACAGAUGUCUGCAAGAAACAAUCAGGUAAUUUGGGAGGGAAAGGGAGUGACAUGGUCUCUGGCAGUCCCUUUCACUCCUAUUUUUUAUUGUCCUAAAAGAUGGAAAGUUUUACCCCAGGAGAGUGUACCUGGUGUCCAGGUUUGCAGUCAAGGUGACCAGCUCAAAGGAGAGAGAACAAUACAGGCAGGAAAACUUUCUGAUCUUGAAUAAGAACUCUUAACAUAAGCCCAAGUGUUUUCCAAGCAAGUGUCCUUAAUAUUUUUCCCUGUGGUAGUAAGGAUUUUUUUAUUUUUAAAGUGGAGCUGGAACCAAAUAUCAUUGAAUCAAAGAAGCCAACAUUAAUCAAAGCACAUCAAAGAUGUUCCUCAUCAGUUGCCUGGAGCAACAGAAUCUACAGUACAUCAUCUUUCUUAUGCUAAGCUGGAGGAAUUCAGAGAAGAGAAUUCUGUCUGUUUGCUCUCAAAUGAACACAGAAAUAGUAUUUUCAAAGUUUCUUUAAUAGUUCAGUGAUUUGGUCCCUUCAGCCAUCAUAAUUUCCGAGUCCACACUUAGACUUCCCAGGAAUGUUUUUAGUAAGAAAAUCAAUCAAACGAGCCUUUAAAACUAAAUAGGUGGUGAGCUGCCUCUCCAGACAAAGUCACAGGAAGCGCUUCCCUCUCUUACGUUGUCUCUUCUGUUCCUUCUCUCUCUCCAGGUCAUGAUAAUGGUACCCCAUGGGCCUUUGUUGCCUCACUACGGAUGCAUUUUACUCUUAUUUCACAGUACCUACAAGGAGCAAGCAACUCCACUGGAUAAACACACAUGGUUUCCUGUUCAAGUAACAAAUUUUGUCCUUAGUUUAAUAUUUUCUGGUGUUCCCUGAUACAGAAAUUAGAGCUGCUUAUAUUUGCUGUCUGCUUCCAGAAGAUCCAGUUGCUACCUAAAAAACUCGUGGACACUUGAGUACAACCAAGGCAUAAACAGGCCUGAAUUUCAGCUCUUUGCUGGAUUGAUUCUUACACCUGAGCACUUGAUAAAACACUGAGUAGCAAAACCUCUUUGUCCAGCCUGAGGACAGCACUGGUAGACACCCAACCCUUUCAUGUGGGCAGAAAUGAAAUGCAGCAACAUGUGCGUGUGUGACCAACCCGCAGAAUCACCGAGGUUGGAGCUGCGUUUUUAUGGUUUUCUUUUUCUUUACUAACGAGUCCCAGGGCAUUUUGCAGAAUGCACAUUGUAGCCACGGGCUGAGCCCUGUGCCCAGCUCGGGGCCGGGACGUGUUGGCAUUUCAGCGCCAGCGACACUUUGCUCUGGUUGUUACAAGAGGAAGCGAAGAACAGAAGUUCCCCGUCUGAAACCGUGGGGGGAAAUUUAGUGUGGUAGAAUGUAAUUAUCCAAACUGGAACAUGGCCAGGAUCCUGGAGUUAAUAACACCCUCUGCUCUUGCAAAAAGUGUCAUAGGAUCUUUAAUGACUGUUAGUGGUCAGCGGGCUUCACAUCACAUCUCCAGGGCUGAUAUUGAACAGAUCAGGAGUGUGGGUAUUCCCGUCUGUCGUGUAACACAAAUAUCUGCAUGGCCUGUGGCUGCAGCCUUCAGGCUGAGGAGAGAACUGAGCUGAACAGCCAGGGAGGAGACAUUAGUCUUAAUGAAAAUGAUCCCAUUAAAGGCAGAUGACUGCAGUUGGUGAAGAACAGCUGAGAUGUUCACUGAAGUGCCCAUAAGGUAGUAUUUGGGGUCCACCAAAUCACCAAAUCUUCAGUGACCAUCAACAUUGUGUAGUUUGGAGGAAUGGAACAAAAAAAGGUUUACAGCAUCCUCUGUGUAAUAGGAUCAACUCCUGUGGAAAUCUGUAGUAUGAAUUUACCCUGAUUUCUGUAGUACUGGGAACUAUGUGCAAAUGAGUUGGGAAGUGGGUGUAAGUGGUAAGAUUGCGUUGUGCUAAUUAGCCUGGCAUUGAUGAACUGUACAAAGCCUGGGAACUUCCACAGCAGGAAAGAGAGCACAUCACAGAGAAUCCCUUUCGUCACAACUGACUUGUGCCACGGGACUUCAAUUAAAAACCAGACCAGGCCACUUUUAAUCGCUUUAAUGAGAAAUUACUUUUUUAAAAAAGAUAAUCUUUGUUAAGCUGUCUGUCUUCUUCUAGCAGUGCAGCCCGUCAUGAUGGGAGAUGAGGUGCUAAUUAUCUGUCUUGGCUGCUUUUUCUGAUCACAAGGUUUGUUAUUCUAUCCUGCACCUGGCACCACAGGCUCUGGUGUUUGGGAUCAGUGGGCAUUACUACAGUGCCAGCUGUAAUAAAGAGUAGAAGGCCAACGAUCCUGUAUGUUGUUAAAAUGAAGAAAGACUUGCACAGUUCUCCCCCUUUGUACAUCCCAGUACAUUGGUACUUACACCAUAACAGUAUUAUCUCAGGGAAUAUAAGUCUGCUACAGGAUAUUGCCACUUUAACCACCUGAACUGCCUUUUAGUUCCAGUUUCAACUCAGUGUCAAAAAUAUUACCCUGUUUAAGAUUAAUUUGUGACAAAAUGUCAUAUUAAUACAGCUAUAUUUCCCAGGGGAUAAAUAUGGCCUUUUGAAGAGCAGCCAUGGCUGAGUGCUAUAUAGGACUAUAGAGAAUUAUCAACAGGCUUUUGCCUUAGCAAAUGUCAUGCUACCAGAAGAAUGGAGCAGUUUGCAGGCAUGAAAUUGGAUUAACAUGAAGAUAAACUUAGACUUUAAAUCUGUUGAGGAAAUCAGUAAUUAUGUCAAAAUUCACAAAUAGUAAUCUGUUUAACUGUGGCAGGAUACUGCUCAUCUAUCAGCAAAACAUCCUGACUUGUCAGAAUUCCAUUGAAAGUGGCAUCCAGCCAGUACCCUCUCAUGAGGAAGAAUCAAUUUGCAAGGUAUUGAGUAAGUCCUUGGGCUAUGCUGUGGAGAGGUGACCACCCAUGAAAGCCACUGACAUGAAAAAAAUGCAAGAAUCAUAUAGACCAGCAUGAAUUGGGACUUGGACAACAAGAGCCUUGGACCACAAGGACAUCAGAUACCCACAGAAACAAGGACUCAGAUACCUGGAGAGAGCUGGGGAGGAUUUCUAGGCUGUAUCCUCCCCUGGCUCCUUCUGGACCUACAGUCCGGACUGAGGAAUUGAUGUACCAGUGGAGAUGUGUUUGCUGGAGGAAUUGUUCCUGAGAUAUGGUUUCCUGAGGGUCACAACACAUUCCAUUCCUGGGAGAGUGAUGGGCACAUCUCAGCUGGCUAAUCAAAAGUGGUCUGCAGAAGGCCUCAGUGACUUGGAUGGCAGUUCUGAGACUCCCCCAGCCUCAGCAAACUUUUCUGAUCCAAGGAACAAAAAAAAACAAAGAUGUGUCACAAGCCUGACUGGAUAUGGGAGCUGGGAAGACAGAGCUCAUUCAUCAAGAAGCCUGGAAGUCUCCCAGGGAAAGGUGGAAAACAAAUUAGUGUCUCAUCUUGAAGCUCCUAUAGGUUGUCCAGGACUGAACCGUUCCAAGGGAGAUAAUUCCAGAAGUCAUUCACACCUGGGCUGCAAAUUCAAUACUGCAUUCAGGUGACAAAGGGAACGUGAUUGCUGAGCUACUCAGAAAAUUGGAAAUCAAAUUGGCCGUGAUGGUUGGUCUAUGUGGUCUCCUUUUGGAAUCAACAAGAGGGAGAAGAGAAUGAAGGACAGGAAAAUGGAAGUGUGUCCUGCUGUAUGGAAGACGAGUUUAUGUAGCCAGAGUUUGUAAGGGGGGAAGCAAAUUUCAUGUUAUGCCAGCUCUGAUUCCUGAGGCCUCGGGGAACGCUCACCUUGAGGAAUGAGUUGUACUUCACUGGAAAUUUGCUGUUGCAAAGAGAGACUCUUAACCCUGUCCCAGUGGUGAAGACUGUUUAUAUUGCAGCUGGGCCCCAACAGCCUCAGAGAAGGUUGUGGUGCAUCACAUGCUGGGAGAAAGUCUGUGACUGGAGAGAAUUCAUAGCUUUUCUGAGUGAAAAAGGACAAAAAAUGUGUGUGUGGGACAAAACAGCUGGGAAGAAUUUUGUGUGAUCCAUGGCACUAUGUUUCCAUCCAGAGAACAGAACUCACAUGUCCAGGACUUCAGCAGCCUUACCCUUGCAUUUUAAACCCUUUAAACAGAGAGAACAAUGCAGAAAAUCCCAGAGGACACAUGAGAAAGGGGGUUGUACCUAAUCCUUUUAUAAUUUCUUUGCAUUUACUUGCUAACAAAAUAUAUUUUUCUUUAGAAUGACCUCUGAGAUUUUAUACUAUGGGGUAUUUGGUUUAAAAUGUACUGUAACCUUCUUCUUUUUUAAAAUUGAUCAGAUCAGCCUUGAACACUCAAAGAAAAAUCUGCCUGCUCUGAAUAUUGCCUGAGGAUUUAGAAAGGUCUUUCUUGGAAACAGAAGAACAAGAUGAAACAAUUAUCUGUAAAGCAUGGAGCCAAUGGAUGUGGGAGCAAUGGAAACCCUCUGAUCACUUACUCUGGAAGGGCUGAUUGUCAGCCACACCUCGACGGCAUCUGCUUGGAGAUAUAAUGAAGAAAGAUUAUCAUUGCUAAUACACUAAAAAAAUCUUGCUGUCUCUGUGAUGGGCCUUAUUAGCACCCAGAGGAGCUGGUGUGAGCUGAUGGCAGUAACAUGUGUGCUGCUCUGGAAAUCUCAGCUUGAGGAGAAGGAGAUGGCAGAGCUGGCCCUGGGAUAAAUCUGCUGGAUGUCCAGGUCUUCCCUCAAAAGUGGAAACAGGAAGAAGAAAUCAACUGUCAUUUGGGAGGCAGGACCUUGAUAGAGAUUCAUCAUCUCCCUCCUGGCUCAGGUGAGUGGUGUGGUCCAUUUUGUCACCUCUUUCCCCAGUGUAGCAGGUUCUCUGCCUUAGUCAUUCUGUACUAUGGUUAUAAGGUUGUUCUGAUGUAUUUAGAUCUACAAACUACACACUAAAGAUAAUCUUGUCUAAAGGAAACACAAAAGAAUAUCCUCUAAAAUUAAUACAUGAGAGAAAUAUCAAUUAGGGCACAUAUCCUUCAAUCCUUAUGGGUAGGAGACCCAUAAUUAAUUAUUAUAUUAUAUAUUAUUACAUAAUAACAAUAGGUGGGAGCGGGUCCUGUUUGAUCAAUUUGUUUGGUUAUUACCCAUAACCAAUUCUUGGUUAUAGACAGCUGAGGGAACUAAAACAGUGACAGAUGAAGGCAAAAUUCCCAGAUGAGAAAAGAAAUAGAGACCUGUAUGUGUUCAGAAGUGGCAGAGUACAGGUAUUUCUUGACAUUGCAGCCCUUUAUCUUAGACACACCAAACCAGAGAUGAACAGCACAAUGUAGGUUUGACACUUUUAUUAACAAAGAACCCAUGGGGCUCAUUCAUUAGUACAAAAUACAAUCAUGUUCCUGUAUGUUAAACAGCUUUUUUUUUUUUUUUAUUUUGUCUCUUUUAAACUGUUUCACAGUUAUCAAAACAAAGCCCCUGCAUAUCGAACUUAUUAUUGUGCAAACAGUAAUUAUUUUUAAGGAUCAAUUUCUGCGCUAAGCCAAGUGCCAGAGAGCAGAAUUUAAUCUUGUUUUCACCCCUCCUUUGAAGGGCCAUGUGUGCUUCCUAAGAAACACAUAAUAGUUGACUUUUUUUUGCAGCAAACAAUCUAAGGCCACAGUUUAUCUGCAAAGAAUAAAAAAACAACUCAAAGAUUUUAAAGGAAAAAAAAAAAAGCACAUCUUUACCCUUCAUUCUCUUGUUUGCUUGACCAUGAUUAUACCAGGUAGCACACAUCACCUAUCAGGUAUUACAGUCCAAAAAAGCACCUAAUGUUCUUUAAGCUAAUUUUCUGAAUUAUUAACAUGCAAGUUAAUACACAGCAACAUUACUUUUCAAGUAACUAUAAUGGUGUCUGUUUAAGGAAAAGAUGCUUAUUCCCUUUCCAGGUGAUGUGAAUGAAAAUCCUGCAUUGAUUGUAUGGGCAGGCCCUCACUUAAAAAGGCAUGAGAGCUACAUCUUGAAACUUAAAUACUUAUUUUUAGAAUGUCCUUUCUAAAACAUGCACUCAAAUUUUGGUUAAAGCUGCAUUUGCUAUAGAAGACAAUACUUAAUGUUGCAAAUGAAAAAAAAAAAAUAACUGCAGUUUGGAAACAUGGAUCUCCAUCAGUCUGUCUUUCACACUGAUGCAAAAGUGAUUUUGAGGUGAAGUGCUAGAAAUUAGACAAUGUAAGGAAGUCAUACUAAAAAUAUAUACGUGUGUAUGCCUGUAGAAAAAUCCCUGCUUCUUAUAUGAAGACAGAUUUCAUAAAAAACCAUUUAAACUUUCUUUUAACUGCAGUUACUGAUGAAAUGAAGGAAACUCAAUUACUGGUUUUGUAGUUAUCAGAAAGUACAAUGUUUUACCACAUGAAGCACCGGGUUUUAACCCCAAACCCUUCUGUAAGACAUAUGGAGUAGUUCUAAUAGUCCAAAAUCCCCUGUACUUUAAAGACAGGACUGUAAACGUGCGUGCUGACAAUGCUGUGUUUCUGCUCCUGUAAGUGAUCUGUUGGUGGUGGUUUAUUUAUCCCAAUUGAUGCUUGGCAGGAAGCAAACAUUCUACUUUUAAAGGAAGGCAGCAGAAGGGCACGUAAAUGCUGUGCCUUCACUCUUAGCAGCAACAAACUCUCACUGUUCUAAAUGACCUGAGGAAGAAAACAUUAUAAUAUUGCACCAAAACAAAAUUAAACAGCAAAAACAAACAAGGAAACAGACCAACAUAUAUAGUAUGGAUAGCAAAUGACCAGUGCAGCCCCUGACAAUAGAUCUUUUAGACAAAAAUGCAGGAGUAAUGAAAAGCUUUGUGCCAUUACCAGAGGACUUUGUUCCCCUGAUAUCUGCUUUCACUUCAGUUAUAAGCUAUGUCUAUUCUGGGUAUAUUUACACCUCUCCCUACGCCUCUUAUCUCAUUCACUAACCACAGAAACCAUUUAGGGUCCCUUUUAGAACCUUGAAGUAUACUGGAGCUUUAACAAGACUUUUUUUGGUCUCAAAUCUGACCGUAAGUAAAUAUCCAAAACAGAGGUAGGCUUAUAAAGGCUUUUGAAUAAAUAAGUAUUGUCCAUUUUGCUAAGUAUACCUGCUGUUGGCAGAAGGAUUCUCCCUUGCCAUGCUUCCCCUUAUCAUGCUAUCCAUAGGCUUAAGAUGCAAAAGAAGAACUCACAGUAGAAGAGGCUAGAAUAAUUCCCUUAAGAAAUCCCUUGAAAGAAAGCAUAGUGCAUAAGCUUGUAUCAAAGUCCACUUUUCUCUUCCAUACUUGUGUCUCUCACUCAGGAAAUGGUUGCCUUCAUAGUAUUGCAUAAUAGCUACUCUGUCAUCUGUGGUGCCUUCAGGAUUGUUAGGAGUGAUGAAAUAGUACCACUUGGCAGUCGUGAGAAGGGCAGGUUCUCAUGAAAUACAAAUUCAAGACUUCACCUUUUAGUAGUGUUCCUUUCCUGGAUGCAGACAGUGCAAAGCUGAAGCCCCUUGAACACUGGAAUCUUUUUUGGAAAUGUUUUCUUACCCCACAUUCUGUUCUACUACUCAAGUUCUACUACAGAAGUUCUCAACAUCAUUAUGUACAUUCUUCCAGAGUGUUCCAAACAAAAUAUAAAUUCUUUUCUUCUCAGAAGAUCCAUACAUCUCCUCCUCGUACUUUGUGUAGUGUGUCCACUUUUGGGAAAACAUUCAGUAUUUCAUUCAUUCAUUUUCAUUUCAGCAUUUUCAGGUACUUCUCAAGUAUCCCAAGCUUGGCUGCUCCCACGUUACUCCUCUGUGCAGACUAAUCCAGCAGAUUCUCUUUUAUCACCAAACGUGCUCAUACCUCCUGCUCCAUUUUCCUUUGCCUUUCUCGUACACAAACUGAAGUUUUGAAAAAGAAAACUGUUUCCUUUUUAGCUGCACUACCAGCUUAAGCAGCAGAAAGAUUAAGACAUUCAUCACAAUGAUGCUUGUUACAAAUCCUCUUCAGAGCCUGAACGAAACGGGCUGAAUUUCUUCUACAUCAGUUGGAUGCGGAUCAAUCUAGGGAGAGAAGAAAGGCAACAAUUACUGCCUGCAAUUCCUGCAUUUAAGUAUGUGUUUUGGUUUGUUGUUCUUUUUUGCCAUCUGACAAUAAAAACACCACCUGCUAUUUAUUUUUUUACCUCUGAAUAAAGAGGUGGAGGCUGAAACCGGAACUCUUGUAUAUAAGCAAAGACAGGACAACACAACUGUUCCUCGCAGUCAAUGGGUGGUGGAUAAGCAGGAACAUGUCUGGAAAACUCUUCCUCAGACACUACAUCAGCAUAAUUUGGUGGUGCUGAAACAUAAGAGAUGCUACUGUCAAAUUUCAAACUAUUCACUCACAGCAAGACAAUAUCUGUAGUACAGUAUAUCCAAACCCAUGAAAACUAUUUAUAAAACAUUGUACAACUGUCAGAUUGUAUGAAGUGCAUUAAACUCAUACAUAUUGUAACUAAAAUUAUGUGUUCAGUAAGCUUAGGUGAUUCAGCAGGAAUACAGAUGCUUUUAGGGCAACUCCAGCAACAAGCCUGUGCUGUAUCAAGAUAUGUUCAGUAAUGAAUAAAUUAAGUUCCUAAGCAGAAUUCCCACUAUCAAAAUUUAGUUAUUUCAGUCAGAUCAGGGUAAAGAUAAACUUAAGGAAGGCUGGAGUUAGGGUAACCUCACCCAAUUCUUUUGGACCUGAGACUUCUCCUGAGUCAUACUUCCAUGGCCUACAUCCCUACAGUGCCCAUAAGUUGGCACUACACCCAUCUGCUGCAGACAGUGCUGUGCUGGAUAAAGAGAGUUCAAUAUGUGUUACCUUCAGGGUGUUCAGGCAUGGUCAGUGCCAGCCAACUCAUAUCCAUACUAAACUGGCUGGUAAUGCUGGAGUUUCUGCUUGAAAAUCCAAUACAUGGAAUAGUGCCAAUCACCAGAGGCAUUUCAAUCAUCAAUUUCUUAGCACCAGGAAUAUGGAUAUACACCUAUGUGACAACCCCCAAACAAAAGAAAAAAACAUCAUGAGACCCCACUGAAUGCUCCUAAAGGCUGCCCUACUCCCUACACUGCAAAUUGUCUAAGAAUUAAGAGCUUUCUGAUCCCAGAUAUGUUCAGCUAAUACCCUGGCAGCAUUCCUUUCCUUCUUUCUGUAACUUGUCUCUAGGUGACAUUUAAAAACAUCUUGACAAACGUAAUUAUGCACUUGAUUUUCAGUCUUCCCACUUCUGAAAAGAAUCACCAGAGGAACCCAUUCAGCUUGAACUACUUUCCCAUAAAAACCUCUGCAGGUCUCAAACUAAGCUGCUUCUUCCUUAGAAAUAUAUUUCCAUUUUCCCUGUUAUUCCCAUCUUUCCAUCUCAGAAUCUCUUCAUGAUCUUCAGUUUCUCAUCUAUAUAUAUGGUUUAUGAUAUUUAUUUAUCAUAGAAUGGUUUGGGCCCUUAAAGAUGUAGUUCCAACCCCCCUGCCAUGAGUAGGGACACCUUUCUCUAGAUUUAUAUUUGUCAUCCCCAAAUUAAAAACCUAACAGCUACUUGGUAAAUUCUUCUGUUCCCAACUCAAUCCAAAGUUUGUACAUUUGAAUAACCAAUACUUACAGCUAAUGAAUAUUCUACUCUAAUAAUGCAGCAGUCAAGUAUAGAGGGGGAUACAGGUGGGAUUUUCAGAGUUUUCCCAUUCCAGGUAUCUGUACUCCCAGAGGCAAUGUGGUUUCCUCGGACAUUGGCAACCAUCUGACGGAAGGUUUUUGUCUUCCCACUGGCCAGCUGGCUUUGAAGGGGGAGGAGGAGCGGAGGAAGGACCCUCUUACCAAGAGAGCUGGUGAGCUGACGUCGAUAUGGCUGAUGACCUGGAGCUCUGUCUGCACACUCUGAUCGGGAGCUGCAGGCCUCUCCAGGAUGGCUUUCACAUAGUACUGAAUACUGCCAUACUUCCCAGUAAAAGAGGUCACCAGAGGUCUGAAACAAGCAGUCACAAAACCAUUACCCUUAAUUAAUAAUUCAGUUCCAAACGUGAGCACUUCCCGCGUACACGAACAUUUAACCAAUUUACAGCUCAUACUUUUAGGGCCUGGGGGAAACUGAAGCCAACAAGGCCUGUCUGUGGGGUCUGAUUAAGAGAAACAUAUAAAGCUGAUACUAAAAAAAACACAAGUCAAAUUACAUUAAGAUAAUGUUGCACUACAAGCAGCGUCCAGCACAAUCCCUUCAGGUUGGAUUAUUUAACUUACUCUUGAGGGAGCUGAAAGCUGAACGGAAAUUCGUGUCUUCCAUCUAGAAGAAUUAAGUUUUCCUCACCUGUAGGAUGAAAAUGAAUAGUAUGUUUUAGUUAUUCCAGAAAUAGAACAAAGCAGAUGCUUUUAUAAGUUAUUUAUGUAUAAGAACACCCAGAUACAAGAAGUUUUUAUUGAUCCCA